rnacentral:misc_RNA from 1 species
CUCCGGGCUUCGGCCCGGGGAGGAAAGUCCGGGCUCCAUGGAGAGACGGUGCCGGAUAACCUCCGGCGGGGGCGACCCCAGGGACAGUGCCACAGAAAGCAGACCGCCCUGCUUGCAGGGUCAGGGUGAAAGGGUGCGGUAAGAGCGCACCGCGGACGCGGCAACGCGGACGGCACGGCAAACCCCACCGGGAGCAAAACCGAAUAGGGGCGACGCGCCCCGGUUCCUCGGGACCGGGGCAGGCCCUCUCUCCAGGCCAGUCGCCCGGGUUGGUUGCUU